rnacentral:lncRNA from 12 species
CCCCGUGCAUCUGCUGCCUGGCACAUCUGCUACCCCGUGCACCUGCUACCCCCCGCACACACAUACCUGCUACCCCACCUGCAAGGCUACAGACAUUCCACUGAUCUCUUGCUCUUCCCUGCUCCCUCCACAGAGAUGUGCAGAAGAACCAGGUCUGUCUCUGCCCUCCGCCUUCCGUCUUCUUGGCCCAAGGCAGCUCUGCACCAUCAGAGAGAACCCUUCUGCUGAUAAAUCUCUGUGUGGGAAAUUGUCCCCAGCCUUAGGCAGAGCCAUGACCCCGGCCCCAGGUCUAAACUCAGAACUGCUGCCUGGUUGGCACACAUCCAGGACUAUGGUAUUUUCCAUAUUCUGAAAACAGCCCCAAGGUCAGUGAGCCAGUGGGUGGAAGGAGCACUGGGAGCUGCAGGAUGAGCACGGAGAGCCUGUGCAUCUCAUCUGCAGGCCUCCCCAGCCCCAUGCCCCCGUCCUCCCUCCGAGUGCUUGGCCCCCGGCCUCUGUCUUCCCGAUGUCAGCACCAUGGGCUCAGCCACCGGGGACAAGCCCCAGACAGGAAAGCUCUGUGUGGUCCCCAUGAGGCUCCGGGGUGGAGGGGACCCUCCCAAGCAUACAAGUAGCCAACCUAUUGGAUGAUCUCGAAGUUCCUGACUGCCUCGACCCACUCAGGUCCUCACCUGGGCAAAGCCAGGGAUUGGGCUUCACGGUGAAAAUACCCUGAGGACUGCCUGCCCCUGCUCAGGGCUGCUUGAGUGAUGUUUACACAACAUAAAAGUAAACAUUUUAUUUUUUUUAAGAUUUUAUUUAUUUACUCAGAGACACAGGCAGAGGGAGAGGCAGGCUCCCUGCGGGGACCCGGACACGGGACUCAAUCCCGGGACCCGAGGAUCACACCCUGGGCCGAAGGCAGACGCUCAACCGCCGAGCCACCACCCGGGCGUCUCAGGAAGGAUGUUUCAAAGAGGCGGAAGAGGACCAUCCCCUGACCUGGGGAGGAGAAAUGACAGAAAUCAGAGACCAGCGCAAAGGACAUCCUGCAAGAGCACAGAAGGUGACCAGGCCUGGACCCUCAUUGGCCCAGGGCAGUCUGUGCCGGAGGGCUCUGGGGGUGCAACCAUCCGCUGAGAGCCAUGAGCACACACGUGGGACGAGACCCCGAUGGCUGGACUCUGGGCACAAAUGGACAUAACCUCUCCAAGCCUCGACGUCUCCAUCC